UGAAUAGUGGACCGAAGAAAAUGGAGAUCUGCAAAGCUGGAAACGAAAGGGGCUGCGGUUCAACGUCAAGUGAUUCUGCUUCACUGUAGGGGAGGAGCCUAUAGUCUGUCAAUAACGAUCACCUUGGUUCACUUAGCAAGUCUUUCCCGGAUGGACAGGAUCCAGUCCACAUUGCAUCCUCAGUUUGCUUUGGUUUUUUGAAAAUUACUUUAUGCAUAUCAGGUCGGGUGGGAAAGCCCAGAUCCAUUUUGGAACGGGUCCAACUUUUUUGGACCUGUGAUGACCCCUAACACAGGGUGCCCGAGGACAGGAUUCAAUGACCUGCAUUCAAGAUCAACUGUACUUGUGACUAUAUGGGGCAGCAGGUAGCCUAGUGGUUGGAGCGUUUGACCAAUAACCGAAAGGUUCAAAGAGCAAAUCCCCAAGCUGAUAAGGUAAAAAUCUGUCGUUCUUCCCCUGUACAAGGCAGUUAAUCCACUGUUCCUAGGCCGUCAUUGAAAUAAGAAUUUGUUCUUAACUGACUUGCUUAUUUAAAUAAAGGUAAAACUUUUUUUUUAAAUAGAGUGGUUUGAGAAUUGGGUCUAAUGCCAGAACUACUUGCAUACGCUAGACAGAAGUUAUGUAAUUAGAACGCAUCCUGUUCCCUGUAUUAUGUCAACUUACAUUUCCAGUUUUUCUUGUUGCACAAAUUCAGAU